rnacentral:rRNA from 1 species
UUGAAAGGGAAACGAUUGAAGUCAGUCGUACCAGCGGGAAAUCAACCUUUCGAGUGGGGGUUCUGGAGUUUUUUGAAGAGUGUCAAAACCUUUGAGAUUUCAAAAUAUUCGCUCUUUUGGUGUACUUUCUCGUGGGUAGGUUAACAUCGAUUUUGAUCAUCAUAAAAAGAUUGGAGGAAUGUAGCUUCGAUCUUGUAUUGAAGUGUUAUAGCCUUUGGUAAAUGUGAUGAUUAGGAUCGAGGAUUGCAACGAAUACCCUUUUGGGCUAUCCGCCUGAUCUCUGAUACGUGGCCUUGGUAUCGAAAGCGUGCUUAUGGUAUUGAGGUAUUACGGUCAAAAGGUUAGAACGGAUUACAUUCGUUAAGGAUGUGACGUA